GGAAAUGUGGCUGAAAACAAGCAUUACCUUGAUAGGGUAAAUAAUAGAGAUUAAACCCUCUCAUCUCCU
rnacentral:tRNA from 1 species